rnacentral:misc_RNA from 1 species
GCAACACGAGCCUGAACGGCUUGAUUUCUUUGGAAAUCAAUUGGCUUCGUUGUUGCGAUGUUGUGUUUGCAAACUCGUAUUUCGAGUUAGGUAGAUUUCUACCAUAAUGUU